GCGGUGGUAGUGUAGUGGUUAAGGAGCUGGGCUCGUAACCCAGAAGAGUUGUGGGUUCAAUUCCCAGCUUCCACC
rnacentral:tRNA from 1 species